rnacentral:rRNA from 1 species
UACGUAGGGUGCAAGCGUUGUCCGGAAUUAUUGGGCGUAAAGAGCUCGUAGGCGGUCUGUCGCGUCGGUUGUGAAAACUCGGGGCUCAACCCCGAGCCUGCAAUCGAUACGGGCAGACUAGAGUGCUGUAGGGGAGACUGGAAUUCCCGGUGUAGCGGUGGAAUGCGUAGAGAUCGGAAAGAACACCAACGGCGAAAGCACUCUGCUGGGCCGACACUGACACUGAGAGACGAAAGCUAGGGGAGCGAAUGGG